GAUGAACGCUAGCGGCAGGCUUAAUACAUGCAAGUCGAGGGGCAGCGCGGGUAGCAAUACCUGGCGGCGACCGGCGCACGGGUGCGUAACACGUAUACAACCUACCUUAAACAGGGGGAUAGCCUUUCGAAAGAGAGAUUAAUACCCCCGUAAUAAAUUGAAUGGCAUCAUUUGAUUUUGAAAGCUCCGGCGGUUUAAGAUGGGUAUGCGUCCUAUUAGCUAGUUGGUGGUGUAAUGGACCACCAAGGCGACGAUAGGUAGGGGAUCUGAGAGGACUAACCCCCACACUGGUACUGAGACACGGACCAGACUCCUACGGGAGGCAGCAGUAAGGAAUAUUGGUCAAUGGAGGCAACUCUGAACCAGCCAUGCCGCGUGCAGGAAGACGGCCCUAUGGGUUGUAAACUGCUUUUGUACCAGAGAAAACCCCGGUACGUGUACCGGGUUGAUAGUAUGGUAAGAAUAAGCAUCGGCUAACUUCGUGCCAGCCGCCGCUGUAACAC
rnacentral:rRNA from 1 species